rnacentral:lncRNA from 1 species
UGGACCAGAUUCGUACGCUGGAUUGGUGGCGAUUGCCGAACCCUCCGUCUCUUCGGUUGUUCGGGUGAAUGGAUGAGGAGGGGUCCCUGAAGGCUGGAUCCGCCGCCUUGGACUUACAGUUCGUAUGGCGAAGUACAGUGUGGUAGUGGUGGAUGGUGCUAUAAGGUGAUAAAUCGUAGAACUGAUAAUGUCAUAAAGUGGCCCAGAAGCCUCUCACUCUGUAACAUUACACAUUACACUAGAAUAGUACUAUGCAUAGUACUACAUAGUAUGCAGGGCUCUAAACUGGCACUAGUUUACGAUGCUCGUACCGCGUUCGUACAUAGUAUAAUAAUAUAGUAAAAAUAGUACUAGAUAGCACUAGAUUUGGGUUUGGAUAGUGUCAAGUAUUAGUUGGACCAAGUCGAGAUCUGCAGUCAAGCUGUAUUUUGAAGGCUAUAGCCGCGUCUUCGAGCUGUGCUACAUAGUUUUGAUGAAUAAUGUCGAGGGAAUCCAGUAUAAAUAAUGACACGGUGAUGGUGCUUGAACAGCGGGCAGCGUCACUCAGCCAGCAACAGCAACAGAGUGGAACCAGCUCCGUGCCAGCAAGGCGGAUCAGCAGGUCCACUCCAAGCACCGGCGCGGCAUUGAUGGCCAGACCCCCCUCCCGGUGAUUCCCGCGACUCUCGCGGGGCAAGUCGUGGAGGACCUUUGGCAUGUACAGGAACAACAUGCCUAUUCACCUGAUCAAGAAGCCCGAGUUGCGGAACCUAUUCGGGCUGCUGGGCGUCACCCUGCCGAACCGGAAGCAGUUGAACUUCACUAGUAUGACGUCCGUGUGUUGUCUUGUGAACACUGGGUCUUCUAUCUGUGAUUAUGUCUUUAUGUGCCAUAACACGCCUUGAGACAUUUGGUCCACCCACCAGGCACUGAACUAACAAAAAGUGAUCUUGAUGACCGCAGCGAUCUGCUUUCUAAUGUCUAAGUAGCUAUUUAGAAAGAACAAAAGAAGAUCUUUCCAACGGUGUAAUUUUCAGGUACAACGGUUGGCUGUACACCCCCCUUCUACUGGGAGCGUGCACCUGCCUAGUAAUAGUAUCAUAGUAUUACAUUACUAUAUAUAGUACUAUUUCUUACCAUACUAUGAUAUUUGGGUUUUAAAUUAUAGUAUUUUUGCCAACCCUAGGCAUAGGUCCACACACAUCCAUGGUCUGGUCUGGAUUGACACUACUGCGAUUCGCGGUUUAAGGUCCUGGGUUCGAUUCCUGGGGAGACCCCGAAUUAGUCGGGAGCGCGAGAUUAUGGCUAGCUGCUGAGAUGUGGAGUUGAGGUCGCAGUUGAUGGACCAGAUUCGCACGCUGGAUUGGUGGCGAUUGCCGAACCCUCCGUCUCUUCGGUUGUUCGGGUGAAUGGAUGAGGAGGGGUCCUCGACGGCUGGACCCGCCGCCUUGGACUUACAGUUCGUAUGGCGAAGUAUAGUGUGGUAGUGGUGGAUGGUGCUAUAAGAUGAUAAAUCGUAGAACUGACAAUGUGAUAAAAGCGGCCCAGAAGCCUCCCACUCUGUAACAUUACAUUACAUCCAUGUGAACUAGUGCUAGUGGCUGGGCUGCCUUGUGCCCUGUCAGCAGAAAAUGACCUCGUGUCUGCUUUGCAAAAAUGCAGGUCUCACAAACACACAUGCUGGCUUUCUGAAAGCUGUGCUGGUCGACGUCAAAUCCCAUUACCAUAUUGUGGCGC